UACAGAGGUCCCGAGCGUUGUUCGGAUUCAUUGGGCGGAAAGGGUGCGUAGGUGGCGCUGUAAGUGGGGUGUGAAAUCCCGGGGCUUAACCCCGGGACUGCAUUCCAUACUGCGGUGCUUGAGGACUGGAGAGGAGACUGGAAUUUACGGUGUAGCAGUGAAAUGCGUAGAGAUCGUAAGGAAGACCAGUGGCGAAGGCGGGUCUCUGGACAGUUCCUGACACUGAGGCACGAAGGCCAGGGGAGCAAACGGG
rnacentral:rRNA from 1 species